rnacentral:rRNA from 1 species
CCUGGACGCAGUGAGGAUAUUGGUCAUGGACGCAAGUCUGACCAGCCAUGCCGCGUGCAGGAUGACGGUCCUAUGGAUUGUAAACUGCUUUUGUACGAGAAGAAACACUCCUACGUGUAGGAGCUUGACGGUAUCGUAAGAAUAAGGAUCGGCUAACUCCGUGCCAGCAGCCGCGGUAAU